AACUAAUCAUUUUUUUGUUGUUGUUGAACUUUCUUUUGUUUUUCAUUAGGUAUUUGCUUUGGUUUGUGACUCCGAAAAUCCACAGCUUUUUACCAUUGAAUUUAUAAAAGGGCAAGUCCGGAAAUACUCUUCAACAGAAAGAGAUUCCUUGUUAGCAAGUUUGCUGGAUGGAGUAAGAGCCUCUGGUAACAGAGAUGUUUGUGUAAAAAUGACACCAACCCAUAAAGGUCAGCGAUGGGGGUUACUCAGUAUGCCUGUUGAUGAGGAAGUAGAGAGCCUGCAUCUCAGAUUCUUAGCUACACCUCCAAAUGGCAAUUUUGCAGAUGCUGUAUUCAGAUUCAAUGCUAAUAUUUCGUAUAGUGGAGUUCUACAUGCAGUAACGCAGGAUGGUCUCUUCUCAGAAAACAAAGAAAAACUGAUCAAUAAUGCCAUAACAGCAUUAUUGUCCCAAGAGGGAGAUGUUGUUGCUUCAAAUGCAGAACUUGAGAGUCAAUUCCAGGCUGUAAGAAGACUUGUAGCUUCCAAAGCUGGUUUUCUGGCCUUCACUCAGCUUCCAAAGUUCCGGGAGCGUUUAGGGGUGAAGGUAGUAAAAGCACUCAAGAGGAGCAACAAUGGAGUGAUCCAUGCAGCCGUUGAUAUGCUUUGUGCCCUCAUGUGUCCCAUGCAUGAUGACUAUGACCUAAGACAAGAACAGCUAAACAAAGCUUCUCUUCUCUCUUCAAAGAAGUUUCUGGAAAAUUUACUGGAGAAAUUUAAUUCCCAUGUGGAUCAUGGGACUGGUGCCCUAGUUAUUAGUUCACUUUUGGACUUCCUUACCUUUGCCCUCUGUGCUCCAUAUAGUGAGACGACUGAAGGGCAGCAGUUUGAUAUGCUUUUAGAGAUGGUAGCCUCCAAUGGAAGAACCCUCUUUAAACUCUUUCAGCAUCCUUCCAUGGCAAUUAUAAAGGGAGCUGGAUUGGUUAUGAAGGCAAUAAUAGAGGAAGGUGACAAAGAAAUUGCUACAAAAAUGCAGGAACUUGCCCUAAGUGAAGGUGCCUUACCUCGCCACUUGCAUACUGCAAUGUUUACAAUAAGUUCAGAUCAAAGGAUGCUCACAAAUAGACAGCUAAGUAGACAUUUAGUGGGGCUCUGGACGGCUGAUAAUGCAACUGCGACAAACUUGUUGAAACGCAUUUUGCCACCAGGCUUGCUCGCAUACUUGGACAGCUCAGAUCCAGUUCCUGAGAAGGAUGCUGAUCGGAUGCAUGUUAGAGAUAAUGUGAAAAUAGCAAUGGAUCAGUAUGGAAAAUUUAAUAAAGUUCCAGAAUGGCAAAGACUGGCUGGAAAAGCCGCUAAAGAAGUUGAAAAAUUUGCCAAAGAAAAAGUGGACCUUGUGUUGAUGCACUGGAGGGAUAGGAUGGGCAUUGCUCAAAAAGAGGUAAAAAAAUAUGCUUCUAAAUUUAUAGCAUUUCUACAUGUCCUAGGCCUAACUUCAGUUUCUGUUGUUCACAGUGAAGGCAUUCAGAUAUGUCUGACCGAAUACCUGAAGCUUAAAAUGAAUGUCACCUAAAUCUGACUCAUAUUUUUCCUCCUUGAUUAAUAGUUUUGUGAAUUAAUGAUUAGGAUUUUAGUUAGGUAUUUAAUAUAG
rnacentral:lncRNA from 1 species